UACGUAGGGAGCAAGCGUUGUCCGGAAUCAUUGGGCGUAAAGCGCGCGUAGGCGGCCCUGUAAGUCCGCUGUGAAAGUCAAAGGCUCAACCUUUGAAAGCCGGUGGAUACUGCAGGGCUAGAGUCCGGAAGAGGCGAGUGGAAUUCCUGGUGUAGCGGUGGAAUGCGCAGAUAUCAGGAGGAACACCAAUAGCGAAGGCAGCUCGCUGGGACGGUACUGACGCUAAGGCGCGAAAGCGUGGGAGCGAACG
rnacentral:rRNA from 1 species